UGGACCCCAAGCACACCCCCUUGUUCUUCACUCUUCCCAUUUACAAAUUCAGAAUUUUUGAUGGAAUUUCAACAACAAACCAAUUUCAAUUUCAAUUUCAAUCUCACUCUCACUCCUUGAUUUUUUUGUGAUUCGAACCAACCACCACCCACAACCACCGUCUGCCUACCACCACCGACCACCUAGCCUCAGCCACCCAGCACCACGCCACCACCACAUCGUAAUCACCUCAACCACUCGACCACCACCCUCACCCUGUUCCUCCCCUCCUUCGUGUCUCCCCUGCCUCCCUCUUUUCUUCCUCCUUGACGCACCACCCACGCAACACCACCACCUCCGACAACCCUCACCAUCCAGUGAACCAAUCUCCGCCCCAACACCACCGUCUAAUCGCCCUGCCUCAGCCGAGAACCACCCCAACCUCCCCUGUUUUUCGGCCACUUCGCGCCCCUUUCUCCCUCUCUCCUUUCGUUCUGCCACCACCAAAACCUCACCACCCUCACAGCCCUCCGGCGUCGAGUCACCUAAGCCCAGCCGCCACCUUUCCCUUCCUCCCUCCUCCCUUUCCUCCUCCUCGUGCGUCUCCUUUCCCCUCCCCUGUGCCGUGUCUCCUAUUUUCCAGAAACCCAAAAUAAGUUUCAAAUGAAACUUUGAUUUUAAUUCUCCUCAAACCCAAUUUCAGAUUGGGCCAACUUUCAAUUUGGGCUUUUUGGGUGAAUUGCAAACUGAAUUAAAUUGGACUCGGAGCUCAGGACGAACGAACCAAGGAAAAUCCUUAGCAAAAUCGUGGAAGUGAGGUACUGCGGGGAACGAUGGAAACGAUUAGUGGCGAGGAAUUUCACUUUGAUAAUUUCCACCUAGUUUAUGUUUUGAGUUUUAAUAGUUUAAUUAAAGAUUUUUAGUAAGUUAUGUACUUUUACUUUGGGAAUAUAAAUGAUCAUUAUGUUAAUUUUGGAGGAUUUAAUAGCUUAU